AAACUUCGCAAUAAGCGAAAGCUUGACGGGGCCAUCCCGAGUGCCGUCUGCUGAAGACGGCUUUUACUCAGUAUAGAUAGCUGGGAGAAUAAGGAGAGGGCAAGUCUGGUGUCAGCCGCCGCGGUAAUACCAGCUCUCCGAGUUGUGGGGAUAAUUAUUGGGCCUAAAGCAUCCGUAGCCGGCUGAGAAAGUCCCCUGUUAAAUCCAGCGACGAAUCGUUGGCCUGCGGGGGAUACUUCUCGGCUAGGGGGCGGGAGAGGCCGUCGGUAUUCUUGGGGUAGGGGUGAAAUCCUAUAAUCCCAGGAGGACCACCAGUGGCGAAGGCUGUCGGCUAGAACGCGCCCGACGGUGAGGGAUGAAAGCUGGGGGAGCGAACCGG
rnacentral:rRNA from 1 species